CCUACGGGUGGCAGCAGUGGGGAAUAUUGGGCAAUGGGCGCAAGCCUGACCCAGCAACGCCGCGUGAAGGAAGAAGGCUUUCGGGUUGUAAACUUCUUUUCUCAGGGACGAAGAAAGUGACGGUACCUGAGGAAUAAGCCACGGCUAACUACGUGCCAGCAGCCGCGGUAAUACGGAGGUGGCAAGCGUUAUCCGGAUUUACUGGGUGUAAAGGGCGUGUAGGCGGGAAAGCAAGUCAGAUGUGAAAACCAUGGGCUCAACCUGUGGCCUGCAUUUGAAACUGUUGGUCUUGAGUACUGGAGGGGCAGACGGAAUUCCUCGUGUAGCGGUGAAAUGCGUAGAUAUGAGGAGGAACACCAGUGGCGAAGGCGGUCUGCUGGACAGCAACUGACGCUGAGGCGCGAAAGCGUGGGGAGCAAACAGGAUUAGAUACCCUUGUAGUC
rnacentral:rRNA from 1 species